AGAUCCACUUCUCCAGGGUGAUUAAUCGCUGCCGUGCUUGGCAAGCGCCGAGGGAGAGAGGUUUGUGGGGAGGAAGUGGGGCACAGGCCGCAGCUGGCCCGCUGUCGUUACUGCUCAGGCCCGGCCCCUGUUCGCCCUCAACAAAGCGCAGCUGCUUCGUGUCUGUCACAAUCAAUGGCAUGACAUUUCCCAACUGGUAAUUUCCAGAAGGAUUCCUGUUGAUGCCUUUUGGAACUGCCAAUCUCAAAGGAAAAUAAAGAAGCCCCAGAAUGGAAGCUGGAAGCUGAGUGGCGGCAAAGAGCACUCUUCAUGGGACUGAUUAAUGGGGAAUAAAGCUCACAUUUAUUGCCUGCAAUCCUGUGCUGGAAGAGAAGUAUUGCGGCCCCUCUGGGUGUGGGAAACUUACACAUGAAAACAGAUUUGGAGAAUUCAGAGGGAUGCAGGUUCCUCCAGAUUCAUAGAAGAACAAUAGGAAGGACCAAGGACAAGAAGGACCUCACUCUUGGGGACCCACCUGAGAACUGCCUCCAGGAAAUAUUCGCUGUAGUGGAUGGGUACUGUUCCCCUGAAGAGAAAUUCUCUAAUGGCUACAGAUGGGGCUCAAGAACAAGGAGAUGCAAUUGCAACCAGGAUGUCUUGUGGAUAAGAGGUCCAGCCCAAGCUUUGGUCAUAUUGAGUCAAUACUGGGACCUCUUCUUGAUGAGACCAAAAACACAUUUGAUCUAUCUGCUGCUGCUGCUGCUGCUAAGUCGCUUCAGUCGUGUCCGACUCUGUGCGACCCCAUAGACGGCAGCCCACCAGGCUCCCCCACCCCUGGGAUUCUCCAGGCAAGAACACUGGAGUGGGUUGAUCUAUCUACCUUUCUCUUUUUGUCUCUUGUAUGUUAAAAAUUAUAAAGAAAAGUAUUUCUUAAUUGUCUAAAGAUAUAUAUUCCAUGAAGACAAGGAUUGCAUCUCUUUUACAUUCUGUAACCUUCAAACAAUUGUGUAUAGAAAAUGUUGGAGUGCUCAAUUAACAAAUGAAUCAAGGCACUACCAUUUCUUUCCUAAAUGUCACAUAUUUUUACCCAGCUAAAAAUAUUUUUCCAUGGUCUUGGCAUUUUACAUGUGACAUGGCAUCUGCUCUGAAAGUAACAAUAGAAUUAUAACAGACCUCUCAACUGCUAUUUUCAGUAAACUAUUUUGUCAUUGUAAAAUCUUUUGUUAAAUGCUAGAAAAGAUAAUUAUUCUUUUUUUUUCUUAACAUCAUUAUGAAUAAAAGUGCCAUGUACUUACA
rnacentral:lncRNA from 1 species